ACGAGUUUGGAACGGUGGGGGUUGAUGCUGGUGCACAAUAUAUAUGUGUGUACAUGUGCUCGCUGCCGCCCACAUCCUUCAUCCACUCUCAACCCCUCUGUGCACCCUUAUCAGAGUUAGUAGUUGUCAUUGUAGUGGCCCUUGGCUCUACUGUAACAAUGAACACUUUGACUUUACAAACACUUACCCUUGUUCUUGUGAAUGUGUGUAAUGCUCCUUGCGAGUAUAAUACAAAUAAUA
rnacentral:misc_RNA from 1 species